GUUGAAUUGGAACCAAUAGCAGGUGCAAGCACAGCGCUAGACCCAAGCAUCCACAUACGAGAAGAGGUCAGUAAGCUGUUCGAGGGCUUUGAGAGGAGGAUGCUGUUGAAGCUGGAAAUGAUGCAGGAGGGCUCCAACAGCAUCCUCACCAGGGUGGAGACCCUCCUGGAGGCCCAGGGGAACAGGCCAGUGGCAGAUGAGGUGGAGAACCUGUUGGAGCAGCCGCUGGAGACCCUGGAGGAGUUUGAACAGUUGUGCCACAGCUUCCAGGCAGAUGCCACAUAGAAGAAAAAGAUUAUUCAGUACUUGAGUCUGCAGGCUCGGGUGAGCCUCGGAGACGGAGUGAGGAGAAUGCUGAGAAAUAUCGACAGCAAUGGACUGUGGGGCCACUACAGUUACAAGGGGAGAAAGGGAAACAGCCAUUUCAGGCGCUGCCCAUAAACCAGGCGUUGAUAACUAAGUGAUAUUUACAUAAACCCAUCAGUGUUUUCACUCAGCCUAAUUAAUCCUAUUCCACUGUUGCCAUUCUUACAGGCAUGCGUGGAAGACUGCAUCGCAAUGACCUCAAACAUGCCCCACACCGUAGUAGUGCAAUAUCUACUUUUUUUCUGCGUAACGGUGGAAA